UAUCAGAUGAACACUGCUUG
rnacentral:siRNA from 1 species